CCCACAAUUCCGUGUGAUUUCCGUUUCCUGGAGACGGCGAUGUGUCCGGCGUGGGAUAAUCGAAGGGUAACCAGUGCAGUGUUUUGUACAGGAGAGUCGGGGGAUGUUUACUGAGAGUGGAGUUGAGAGGAGUUGAGAGGAGGAUCUACAAUGGCUUUGUGUUUGACUGCGGUUGCUGAGCAGCUUCUGAAGGAUGUACAGAGGGCAUACUCGGAGAAAUCCCAGAUACCAGAUGACCUACUUAUAGCGUUGCGGUUUGCGUUUGGCUCAUGUACUCUUCAGGCCUUAGAUCUGGUGGACCAGCGCUCUGUAACACGUGUGUCCUCUCCGAGUGGACGAGUAGCAUUUCAGGUACUGGGUGGAUCAGGUUGUCUCUAUACUUGCUAUACAUCUUGUCAUUAUUGCUCCUGUCCUGCCUUCUCUUUCUCUGUGCUCAGGAGGAAUGAGAGUCUGGUGUGUAAACACAUUUUGGCAGCCUACCUGUGCCAGGCCAUGGGCUUAUGCCAGCAAGAGCAGGUCCCGGAUCAGCACAUGACCCUCAUUCUCUCAGGAAGAGCCCAGCCGGAUCCAUAAACGCACCAUCCUGGAAGAAACCACCCAAAGACUUGCUGGUGUUCUGUGGAAUCCAUUGUUUCUUCCACAUGUGAAAACUGCCAAUUUUAUGGGUGGAAUAACAACCCAUGGCGUGUAGACCCGCCCCCAUGCUUCACAGGUGACGAGGUGCUCUUUUCUCUAACUAUACCUUUGCUGAUUGAGAGUUAUAUACUUACUUAUACUUACUUAAAUGUUUACUUUGUUAGUUUAAAGCGCUUGUUUUUGAAUCACACCUGGAUGUUCAGUAGCAUAGUUUACAUUUAGGCCUUCAUUUUUUAAGAUACUUCCUUAAGGAUUAUGUUACAAGUAGCAAGUAGUGCUGCACAGUAGAACAGUGCACCUCCACUCUUGUGCACCUCUACUCUGGCUCUCUCUAUUUUUUUUGUCUUGAUCACCAGUAGUUUACCAGUAGUGUUUGGGCAUUUUUUUCUAAAAAUUGCUGUACUGACCCUGUCAGAUGAUGUCUGCCAGUGUUGCUUGUUUGCUCCCAUGGGCAAUUCUAGCCAGAUGCACGCAGUCACAAUCAUUACCCCCCACUAAAAUGCAUUUUUCAGGGUUUCUUGGUAUCCCUGAUUUUAUCCUAUUGUCCAUAAUUGCACUGAACUUCUAUUUCUUCCUAAAAUUCUUUGCUAAGAACACUCGGCUAUCUUUUUUAUAGCCGUCCCCUGCCUUGUGGGCAUCAAUUACAUUUGUUUUUAAAUCUUUAGACAGGUUAGACAGCUUAGAGGAGCCCAUGGGUGCCAAGUGUAAGCAUAAGGUUUGAAGAGGCUUUUGCUCCGGCUACUCUGACUCUAAGCAAGACAGAGCAAGAAACAGUGUGUUUUAUAACUGAUUAUAUAGUAUUACUUCUUAGCAAACAAUAUGGGCCAACUUAACUGUGUGAACUCUUUUUACAUCACUUCUCAUGUCACGAGUUCUACCAUUGUGUGUAAUAUCAGUCAAAAUCAGCCACUGGCACUGAAACAGGGAGAUUUGUUCUACAUGUGAAUCGUGACUCAGUUGUGACUAUCUAGCUGGUGUUUUCUACCAAUUAUAGAGGGACGAAGCUUCCACCAGGGAAUCUACCUCAGCGGUACAUAUGCAGGCUUGAGUGAUGGUCCAAACUCUUCAGUGCAGGUCACUUCAUCACUGGUGCUCAGACGCUGCACAGUCUGCCCACUCUGAUGGAGCCAAGUGAGUAAUACACACAAUGAAUUAUUCAUCAGGCCCUCCCAAAGCCUGUCACUGCGUUUCUCUUCGUAGGGAAGAGUGCAUGACUGCAAUGAUGGUGAAUGAAGAGGCAACUGUCUUGUUUUACUUUGCUUUUCUGACUUACGCUUGUUGAGUAGUGACUCGAUCACUAGAGUAUGACUGUGUUAUUCCUAUUCGUCUUAUUUGUGAUACUUCAUUUCCAAUAAUCAGAUAUCUCACUUCUCCCGUGAUCUGGAGAACAUACUCACGCAUGUUGAUAGUGGCUCUCUGAUGCCAGCAGAUCAUAUACAACAUUCAGAAAAGCAGAACAUUGUAUAUCUUUGGUUCUAUACCUUUGGUUAGUUUUGGUUUCAUACUGCAGUUUAGUAAGUAGAAUAAAGAGCUUUACUACAUCCUGUCCUCAUCAGCUACAUGAUCUGCAUCUCUCUAUACUCCAUUCAUAAUUCAUAAUUGCUAGCUGUGCUGCUUUAUGAGGCUAAAACUCCCUGUGGACCUUCCUAUUUACAGUUAUAACACAACCGUAAGCUUUUAUAUCUUUUAGCAACAUCAGAAAACAUUAUAUAUGCAGAGGAAAGACUGUUAAUUAUAUGUGUAUAUACAGCUCUGGAAAAAAUUAAGAGAGCACUUUCUGAAUCAGCUUCUCUGAUUUUGCUAUUUAUAGGUAUAUAUUUAAGUAAAAUCAACAUUGUUGUUUUAUUCUAUAAACUAUGUACAGUAUUUCUCCCAAAUUCCAAAUAAAAAUAUUGUCAUUUAGAGCAUUUAUUUGCAGAAAAUGGGAAAUGGCUGAAAUAACAAAAAAGAUGCAGAGCUUUCAGACCUCAAAUAAUGCAAAGAAAACUAGUUCAUAUUCAUUUGACAUUUAAGAUUUCAGAAAUUAACAUUUGGUGAAAUAACCCUUGUUUUUAAUCACAGUAUUAAUGCAUCUUGGCAUGUUGUACUCCACAAGUCUUACACACUGAUUUUGAAAAGAAUUCAAGCAGUUCAGUUUGGUUUGAUGGCUUGUGAUCAUCCAUCUUCCUCUUGAUUAUAUUCCAGAGGUUUUCAAUUUGGUAAAAUAAAAAAAACUCAUCAUUUUUAAGUGGU